rnacentral:rRNA from 1 species
CUCUAUCAGCAGGGAAGAAGAAAUGACGGUACCUGACUAAGAAGCACCGGCUAAAUACGUGCCAGCAGCCGCGGUAAUACGUAUGGUGCAAGCGUUAUCCGGAUUUACUGGGUGUAAAGGGAGCGCAGGCGGUACGGCAAGUCUGAUGUGAAAGCCCGGGGCUCAACCCCGGUACUGCAUUGGAAACUGUCGGACUAGAGUGUCGGAGGGGUAAGUGGAAUUCCUAGUGUAGCGGUGAAAUGCGUAGAUAUUAGGAGGAACACCAGUGGCGAAGGCGGCUUACUGGACGAUUACUGACGCUGAGGCUCGAAAGCGUGGGGAGCAAACAGGAUUAGAUACCCUGGUAGUCCACGC